UGGGGGAUAUUGCACAAUGGGCGAAAGCCUGAUGCAGCGACGCCGCGUGGGGGAUGAAGGCUUUCGGGUUGUAAACCUCUUUCGCUAUCGAACAAGGCCCGCUUAGGGUGGGUUGAGGGUAGGUGGAGAAGAAGCGCCGGCUAACUACGUGCCAGCAGCCGCGGUAAUACGUAGGGCGCGAGCGUUGUCCGGAAUUAUUGGGCGUAAAGGGCUUGUAGGCGGCUUGUUGCGCCUGCUGUGAAAACGCGGGGCUUAACUUCGCGCGUGCAGUGGGUACGGGCAGGCUUGAGUGUGGUAGGGGUGACUGGAAUUCCAGGUGUAGCGGUGGAAUGCGCAGAUAUCUGGAGGAACACGAUGGCGAAGGCAGGUCACUGGGCCAUUACUGACGCUGAGGAGCGAAAGCAUGGGUAGCGAACAGG
rnacentral:rRNA from 1 species